CACAAAGUAAAACAAAUAUAUUUAUUACUUACACAUAGGUAAGAAUCAAUCAGCAUAAAAAUUAGUUAAAACUGUCCACCAUCUGUCCAACGCGUUUCCUCCCACUCCAGGGACUUCCUCAGGGACUUUGAAUAGUAGUAACAGGUAUAACAAUGAAUAAAAAAACAUUGCCACUCCCUCCCCCUUAAAUACACCCCACAAUUAAAAUGAAGUCCUUUUAUGUGUGUCUCCGACAAGAUUCAGCUGGUCCCGGUCAAAUUGCGAUUACUUCCUGGUUCCGGGUGUAUGAUGUCAUCACGCUGCGUUCCGGACGUCAGACGUGCGUUCCAUUUGCGUUCCACUGAGUUUUUUCAACAGUAUUGUGAUUCUUGCGUUCCACGUCCGGUCCACCAUUAUGGGACCGUUAAAAAUUUAUGUAUUGUGUAUAAUAAAGGCAUGAGGGGGGAAAUAAAAGCAUAUAAGAAGAUCUUUUAAGCACACUUUCUCUUUGUAUUAAUUAUUUAUCCAAUUAUAUUUGUACAAAAUGAAUGCAUUCUCAUUAUUAACAUAUAUAAAGUAUAACAGAGACUCUGCAAGCAACCUCAUACCAACUUGUGGAAAAAUUCCCUUACUAAUUAAAGGGGUGUAUUUUAUAUUUUCAAAUUUUUAAACAUAUGACUAUAAUUUAAUAUAGUAUCAAAAUCUAUGUUAAAUAAGAAUUCUCUAUUACAUCUUUAUU